AUGCACCAUGAGCCGAACAAAGGAGUCGCUAUAACAACACUCAUUUCAGACAUCAUGUGUGAAGAUCAGGGGUGGACAGAGAAUGCUGUGAGGACCCCCCUCUGGACAUCUCCCAGAGCACCUUUAAUACAGGUACGCCCAUGGAUUCAAAUCCGCUGUAGUAACAUUCUCUAUGAAAGAGCCCUUGAGCAACUGUCCCUGUUAGGAAGCAUUAUCUUUUUUAGUUUUAUAUUGAAAAGUUUGAGGACUGAAACAACUAGCUUGGACUGAUGAAGAGGAAGAAACUGCUAAGAUGUGCGAUGAGAAAGAACACCUGUUAGCAGGUGUCAGAGAUGCUCACGCUGCCCGGGCAACCAGGGCUCAAAGCGUGGUCUUCUCAGGAGGAACUGAGGCCAAUCCCACCUAUACAGACAGCUGAUGCUGCCAGAUAUUGCUUAGUAGUCGUCUCAAAUAGUAAGUCACUGGAAUCCUGUGUUUAUGAAUAAUAUUGAAUUUGCUCAUAUAUUUAUAAAACUGACACUGUCAUAAAAAAACACAAUUAAAAAAAAAAACUUAAAAUCUACAGUCUUAGAAAUUUACUUUUAAAUAUUAGGGCAACCUAAUAAGGGAAGCUAGCACAAACACUAAAAAAUAAUGGAACAACAUAAAACGCCUACCAAAGCAAGGAGACAUGAUUCUGAUUUGGGCUGGUCAGUUUCACGCUCGUUUUCCAAGUUUGUACCCCUGAGAAAACUGUUUGAUAACCAUUAUACAGUAGGCACAGAAAUCAGCAUACUUUAUCAAACAAAACACUAAAUAGCUGCUGCUACAUUAAAAAUUAUAUUAAUUUUCUUAAAUGCUGUGGAUAAAGAAUAAUGUCAAAAGUUUCCAAAUCUGUGCUUGGUUUUCAUCUGGAAUGGAGCAAAUGUCAGGCAAGUAACGUCACCUGUUACUUUGACAUUUUACCCCCCUGCCUGCAAAUCUGCGUGCAAUUCCAUAAAUUAUAAGUGUGAGAAAACCCGAUGAACAACAGAACAGAAUAUAGCUGCUGCAGGGUUUGUUUUGCACGAAUGGGCCUGGCACUGCUUGUUCUUGAAAAGCUUCUUGAAGGCAGAGUAAUGUGAGAAUUCUUUGGCUCGAAUCCCAAAUAGCUCCAAAUUGUGAGUUGUGUGGAUCCAAUUUCUGAGUUACUGUACUUUGGCUUUGAGACUGCAUGAAAAGCACAUUAACACUUCUUAGUGUAACUUGUGAGAGUGAAGUCCACCCCACUAGCAACACUUCACAGGAUCCC
rnacentral:lncRNA from 1 species